GAAGCUGGAUUAAUUUGAUGAUGGGUAAACACACGUAUUAAUUGUGAUGUUGCAGGAAAAUUCGAGUGUAUCCAAAGGGCCAUGGCAGUGGUGAAGGCAGCCAUCUUUCCCCAUAUCUGGAACUGGCAGAUCCUGCUGCGCUGCAUCCUGCAACCAAAAUAUAUGCAGAGGUAACGUUGCGCCUGCAAGAUCAGAUUUACUCAAAGCAUCAUUCUGGAAAAGGUAAAAAUACAUAAUCACAAUGACUCACAUGGUCAGAUACAAACUAUUCAGUUUUAACACAAUGGCAAGGAUUUUUUUUGUUUUGUUAUUGGCAGUUUCAUAUUGGUUUAGUGCGUCAAACCCAGAAGUUGGGGGCCCAAGAUUCAUUCUCUUAGACAAUUUCAAACAACCUAAC
rnacentral:lncRNA from 1 species